UUGUCUCAAAGAUUAAGCCAUGCAUGUCUCAGUACAAGCCUAAUUAAGGUGAAACCGCGAAAGGCUCAUUAAAUCAGUUAUGGUUCCUUAGAUCGUACCCACAUUUACUUGGAUAACUGUGGUAAUUCUAGAGCUAAUACAUGCAAACAGAGCUCCGACCGGAGACGGGAGGAGUGCUUUUAUUAGAUCAAAACCAAUCGGCGGCGGGCGCGUUCGCGCGUCCGUUCGCCGCUCAAACUGGUGACUCUGAAUAACUUUCCGCUGAUCGCACGGUCUCGCACCGGCGACGCAUCUUUCAAAUGUCUGCCUUAUCAACUGUCGAUGGUAGGUUCUGCGCCUACCAUGGUCGUAACGGGUAACGGGGAAUCAGGGUUCGAUUCCGGAGAGGGAGCCUGAGAAACGGCUACCACAUCCAAGGAAGGCAGCAGGCGCGCAAAUUACCCACUCCCGGCACGGGGAGGUAGUGACGAAAAAUAACGAUACGGGACUCAUCCGAGGCCCCGUAAUCGGAAUGAGUACACUUUAAAUCCUUUAACGAGGAUCAAUUGGAGGGCAAGUCUGGUGCCAGCAGCCGCGGUAACUCCAGCUCCAAUAGCGUA
rnacentral:rRNA from 1 species